rnacentral:lncRNA from 1 species
UUUUAUAUAUAUAACAUUUUACUAGUAAUGUUACAUCAACGUACAUAAUUUAACAAACAAAUUAAUUAAAUAUUAAAAUUAUUUGAAUGUUAUUUAUCAGAACCUUUAAAUUCUGCAAUUUAGUGAGAUUCAGGUGGCUGCGAAAGAAUGGAUUGAGUGGUUUUUUAUGAUAACAUAUAUACUGGGGUUUUAAAAUUUUUGUCACUUUCUGUAUGCACUUUCUUCCCCAAACUUUUGCAGUUUCAAUUUUCUUCUCUUUCUCUCUAAAACUCUCAUUCUUCUUUUUACAAAUUCUCAUUCUCUUUACUUUCAAUCACCAAACAGACCACGCCUGAGCCUCCUGGUGCCAAAGGCUUUCAUUUGCACCGAUCAAAUCUUUGUUCUAAGUUGGUAAGUUCUUCUUCUUC